GCGAGAACUUUGAAACCAAUAAGAAGAUAAAUAUUGAAACUCCAUGGAAUGGACAGGUACUUUUGAAGCCAAACAGGCAUGUUGCUCGGUACAGACAUUAAGGAAUCAUUAUUUGCAUGGCUCUGAUGAAGAAGCAUAUACAAAGAUGUUUCUCUCUGUCUAGUUCCAUCAUGAUCGAAUGAGCACGGAUUUCAACACAACUCUAUUUUCCACUCCCCAGAGCCAGAGCUUUCGUAUGUAUCUCAGCCCAGGACAUUGUUAAUUACAUUUCCAGAUUAACUGGCUGGUUUGCUGCUCUGUGUCGAAGGGCACAAGAGUGCUGUGUGAGGCAGCAGUGCAAAGGAGAGAGGAUGGAAAUUUAUGCAUGUCGGAAUUGAGAUGCGUGGUUUGCAGACUUACAGGAGUCACUCCUAUUCCUGUCUUCUCCCAUUUCAUCCCAUUUCAAACUGUGCGUGCUUGUCACAGGACAGUAUCCUCAUGUUAUUCUUAAUUCUUGGGAGAAUACUAUUUGCUGUCUCCUACAUGUGUUGAUUCAUCAAGGUGCCAUGGAGAAAAUAAAGAAGAUCUUAGAUGAUGACAGUAAGCACCUAGGAGAUGCUGUUGGAACAUCAGAUUACAGGGGAACAUAAAGGAUCAUCAACAUGACAAGUUGAUUGUUAUGUAGGAUCUUGCAAUGCUUUAGACUAAGGCCAUGAGCAAAAUGAGCUUACAUUUACAAACUAAAUAAAAACAGAGGAUCAUGAGGAGAUCCAUUCAGACAGCCUGCCCUAUUGUCUGUGAGGUCCUUGGCCCAGGAAUAGUUCCUGCUCCUGCACUGAGGAGAUCCACCCAGAGAG